GUUUCUCGGUUGCUCACCACCAAUGUGUAAAAACCCUUUUUUUAUUAUUAUUUUUUCGUAUUUAUAAAAUAGAAGACACCCAGAGGGUAUUUUAUUAAGAAUCAAAAUCAAAAUCAAGGUUACAUCAAAUCUGUUCUUUUUUUCUCUUCCUUUCGUCCCUGUUUUUAUUUUUAUUUUUGUAUUCAACAUCAAAUCUCUCUUUGGUGAUUAGAGUACCAGAUUCUAUGGUAGUUUUCUUUGAUUCUCCAGCAUUGUUGGUGAUUCAAUUAGGGUUCUGAAGUCCCAUUUUUCAAAGUUUGUUGAGAAGAUUUCUUCGAUUGGAGUUAGGGUUCUGUUUUUUUUUUCUCUCUGUAGUUUCUUUGUGGGAGAUUUCAUCGAUUGGUGGGAAGGGUGCUGUUGUGGGUUUUUGUGAAAUCGCACCAACAACUGUUCUUCUGUAUGUGAUUUCUUAAAUCUGAGUCAGUGUUUGAUGUAACAAUUUUAUUUAGAGGUGUUGAAAUUAGAAUUAGGGUUUUGAGAUUUGGGUUCUUUUGUGACUGGUUGAUGUUACAAAAUUAGGGGUGUUGGUGUUCAAUUCAGGUUUUUGUGCUUUGUGUUUGGCUUAACAAAAUUAGGGGCGUAGAAAUUUGAAUUUGGGGUUUUGUGAUUUCCUUUCUUCUGAGAGUGGUUGAUUUAAAAAAGCAGAUUUUGCAGUUUUUGCUCCAAUUUCUCAAUUUCGUUAUUUGAGAAAACAAUAGUUUCAAGUAGUUUUCUUUAUGCAAUUAGAUUUUUGGGUUUCCUUUAGAAAUUUGAGGGCUUUGAAGCAGUAGCAGGGGAUUUUUGUACUUUUUUGUGCUGUACAGAAGAAGUGGAUUGAAAGAAGUAGUGGGUCUUCUUCAGUGAAGUGUUUGAAGUGGGUACAAGGUUCAGUCAAGAUAUUGUAUUUUUCUUCUAAUUAGUAUUUUAGUGAAUGGUAUUUUAAGUUUUCAAUUGAGGUAGUUUGUCUAAUUUGAAUUCUUAUUUUCCCAUUUGUUGAUUCCUAAUUAUAGUUAUUUCAUCCCUGCAAUAUUUCGACAACCAGAUAUUCCACUUCAUCAUAUGUAAGUGUAUUUGUACCUUCAAAAGGGGUGUUUUCUAUAUCUGCAUCACCAUCACAAGGUGACAGGUUUCAUUGUCCCUUUACAAACUAUGACAAGAUUUUUUGUCCCUUUAAAGGUUAUGAUGGUUGUCAUGGUGGAGUUGGCGGUAAUGGGUAUGCUAGAAGUGUAAUUUAUAGACAUCUAAUAGAUAAGAACGUCCCUACAGCGGAUGGUAAGGAUGCUUGUAGGGAGAGGAUAAGGAACAAUGCUGAAUGCUUCAGUGCAUAGGAGAAGGUCUUGUCUGAUAUGCAAUCUUGGCUCUGCAUUAAAUGUUGACAUAUCCAUGCAUGGAAGAAAUCAUGCCAUGACCCAAGGCAUUCUCAUGAAGUUGUUGUUGGUCCACUCAAUGGUAGUAUGGUUGAUUUUUUAAUCCAUGGUACAACACAGCCUUAAACCCAUCCAGUAGUUAUGGAUGACAAUGUUCUGGACGAAGUAGUUGCAGGUUACAGUUUUCUAGAACUCUGAAGGCAACUCUAGAUAAUAUACUGGCAAAACCCAUGGAUUUGGCUACUUGGCUUUAUCUCUUGUAGCUACCUGUAUGUACACUGAAUUUGUAUAUGCCUAAAAUCUCCGCUGAGGAGAGAUCAGGUACAAGGAAGAAGUUACAAAUAUCAGCAAUCAACCAGGCUUUAGUGACAUGGUUGGAACCCAAUGGAUGCUUCACAUUGGUUCAGGCACUGCUAGACUUAUCAAGGACAAAUAAUCAGCCAAACAGUCUUCUAAGAGGAAAAAGGAAGAUGCCAACUUGGAGGAUUGUAGAAAAAACUGAGUUAUGGUCAUUAUACAAUUGCAAUUCGUAUUUUAUCUUCCAAUUGGGUUGCUCCUUCUACCCUGACACUCUCUACGAGUCACAGAAGAAACACCCAUAUGAGCGGCCACUUGUUAUCCCUUUGGACAAUCUCUCAACAACAACAUUAUUUGUUGAUUCCAAUCUGCGGGAUCUGAAAAGCUUCCCAAAGGGGACUGCAUGUGGUAGGGACGGUCUUCGGGCUUAGGACUUGCUAGUCUCUCUUAAUAGUGCAGCAGCAACAUUUUCUGAUGACCUCUUACAAUCCAUGGACGGUGUAGUUAAUCUAUGGUUGGAUGGAAGAUAUCCUGCAGUCCUUGGUAAGUAUGUAGCCAGCGCACCAUUAACUCCUCUACUGAAGAGGUCCAUUCAGUUUAACAAGAUGAAAGUUAGUCUGAGGAAAGUUCAGAUGAUGAAUUAACACCUGAGAAGGCAGCUGCUGGUGUCAAGGGUUCUAAAUGGGGAGAAGUUUCAGAUGAUGAAGAUAAGACGAAGAAUAAAAGGAAACCAUGUCGCAUUCUAGUUCCCAAGAAAGGUCAAACAGCGUCUAAUUCAGAAAAAGCUGAGUCAGGAUCUGAAAUCAAUGAGUUAGGAAUAAAGGUUAGCAAGGGAAAGUCUCCAGUUCUAGAAAGAAGAGGGGUGACUAAUGCUAGUCAUAUUCCAAAAGUUAAAAAUAAACAAAAACAGUAGUUUCCAAUGCGUGUACUCUUUUGGAAUAUCAAUGGGGUGGCAAAGGUGGAGGCUGGGUUGAAGUUACGUCAGUUGGUGCAUGAGUUUAAACCUGUGAUUCUUUGUAUUGCGGAGCCUAAAAUUCAGUGUACUGACACAGUUAUCUCAAAGCUAAAUUUAGCUGGUUUUGUUAAAAAAGGCAAUUCAUAAUUCUACUUUGAAUUCUUUGGGAAAUCUUUGGAUUCUUUGGAGUGAAGAUAUUGAAGAGCCAGUGGUGUGUAACAUGACUAGGCAAGCCAUUAAGGUGAAGAUUGAUGGUGUUUUUAUCUCAUUUGUGCAUGCUAGUUAUCUGCAAGUAAUUAGAAGGAGUUUGUGGAGGCAA